UGAGAAACCGAGUCAAAUGUCUAGAAGACGAAGUAAGAAAAUUGAAUGAUACUAUUAAUCGUUUAGUUAGUUCCAAUACCGACUAUAGAAGGGAUUAAGUGUUAGACACGAGAUGAAUAGACAUGAAGCAAGCUUGAAAUGGAUGUUUUAUUAUAAGUUCAAAUUGUUAUCUAUUUUAUAAAACAAUAAAAUCAUUUUAAGUUUUAAAGAUAAUUAUGAAUUGUGAAAGAUGUAAUCGAUUAUUUUAUUUUAUUUUUAAUUAUUUUCUAAAA